CCCCAUGGACUCAAAAAUAUCCUGCCAAAUAUUAUAAUAGUAAGCUCAUAAACUAAAAAAGAUCAGGACGAAUCAUCUUCCCCUCAUAGUAUAUAGAUUCUGAUUCAAUUACCUUUGUUACAUAAAACUCAUGUCUUCAUUAAAUUAUAGCAAACAACUCGAACAAGUUUGCCUUACCUGCCGCAAAAUCCCAAUCCAGGAUUGAAGAGUAUUACAUAGUACAUACUUCAGGUGUAAAUUCAGUUAGACCUCAUGGGCAUACAAAGAAAAAUCAUAUUCAUAUAAAUUUGUGCAUGGAAAUAUAAGAAAUUCAAAACUACUUUCCAUUCAAGUAUUGAACAAAUUUAAAGCUCCCACUUUUCAAUAUCCUAAAAACAGUUUAUUCCUCAUUUUCCUCAUCAUUGCACCCUUUUGCUAACAAUUCUACUUGGGAUUCAUUUAAAAUGCAUAAAUUUUAAUUUACCACCUCAAAUAUCACAAAAUAUUAACUUAAUUAGCACAGUUGGAGAAUUUCCCAGAAGUAUAUUCCUAUCCUAUCUUUAGGAAGCAGGACAUUACAUGAAUCAGACGGUUAUUGAAACUAGCAAAAUAAAUAAAUUAAAAAAAAAAAUAAUGCUAUUCCAGUAGAACAUUCAAAUUGCUAUAAAAUUUUAAAUGCUCGAAAAACACACAGCGUUUCAUUAACUUAAUCACUCGAUUAUAACUAAUUAGCAACAUUAUAAAUGAUAAAUAAUACACCUGAAGCAUGUUGUGACUCAAGA
rnacentral:misc_RNA from 1 species